AUUGAACGCUGGCGGCAUGCCUUACACAUGCAAGUCGAACGGUAACGCGGGGCAACCUGGCGACGAGUGGCGAACGGGUGAGUAAAGUAUCGGAACGUGCCCAAUAGUGGGGGAUAGCCCGGCGAAAGCCGGAUUAAUACCGCAUGAGACCUGAGGGUGAAAGCGGGGGACUCGCAAGAGCCUCGCGCUGUUGGAGCGGCCGAUAUCAGAUUAGGUAGUUGGUGGGGUAAAGGCCUACCAAGCCGACGAUCUGUAGCUGGUCUGAGAGGACGACCAGCCACACUGGGACUGAGACACGGCCCAGACUCCUACGGGAGGCAGCAGUGGGGAAUAUUGGACAAUGGGCGAAAGCCUGAUCCAGCAAUGCCGCGUGUGUGAAGAAGGCCUGAGGGUUGUAAAGCACUUUCAAUCGUGAAGAAAAGUUAGCAGGCUAAUACCCUGUGACCUUGACGUUAACGAUACAAGAAGCACCGGCUAACUCCGUGCCAGCAGCCGG
rnacentral:rRNA from 1 species